UUACGGCUACAUCAUGUCGAAACACUAGUUCCCGUACGAUCACUGAAGGUAAGCAAGGGCAAGCAUGAACAGUACCUAGAUGGGUGACCGCUUGGAAAUACGAUAUGCUGUAA